GCUCAUUCUGCACGUCGAAUGACUCCAUUCGACAAUUCUCACCUCGGAGUCACGGGACUCUUGUCACCCGAUUCUGAUUGUCGACUCGAGUGAGGUGAGAGGUUCACUUUUGUAGCGAGAAGGAAAAUGAACCAAAACAAAUGCGAUGUUCAUUCGCAGAUCUGUCUGAGAAGACUGAGAAGAUUUUCGCGACAUCGCUCCAAUUAGGGCGUACCCAAUGAAUAUCAACAAUAAUAUUUUAUUUUAAUCUCAAGUAUUUUCAUAUUUAUUAUAUGAAAUACAAAAAUACCUAUUAAACAAAUCCAAAUAAAUUUAUUCUAAACAAAAAUUAAACAUUUUAUUUACUUUUGGUCAUUUUACUUGAUUGUUUAUAUGCUACAAUUUGUUUUCAUGUUUGGCCCUAUUCACAACAACGGUGGGUGUUUGUUUUGAGUUUUUUGUUUUGCAAGCGUAAACGGUGGUUGUGCCGGAUACCCCCGGAACGGACUCCAGGACACAUUUUGAUCUGUAUUUAAGCGAUUUCAGAAGUGUGGAAAUACAUCGAUGGCUAUCAUGGCUAUGCACAAGGGGUUCGCUAUGCAAGAGAGAUGGAACCGAUGGAAGAAACUAGCAGUUUGUACACAGCUCCUCAACUUGGCAAGCAACAAGUUCGGGAUAUGAUAUGGACAGUGAUUAUAGUGACGAAUGAUGACUCGGUGCAUACAAACGUCGUAGUGGACAACAAUUUCAGGAUGCUGGCGCUACGGUAUCACCGUGUUCAGUUUGCGGGAGGAGAGCUAGCGCCCCACCAACUACUUGUGCAGUCCGAAUCCUUUUGCUAAUGGCUACAACUAUAAGGAAUUGAGCUUCCAGUGCUUCGACGGAGUUUUUGGCAUGUCCCUGCUUCCGGUUCACAGAAACAAUGAUCGUAUGCUGUUCUACCAUCCCAUGUCCAGCUACACGGAGUUCCAAGUCCCGAUCUCGUUCCUGCAGAACGAAAUCAUCUGGCAGAACAUUGAUCUGGCAUUCCAACCACGCGGUAGUCGUGGCAAGGCCGGUAAACCGCCCAGCUCCGGAGUCGCUCGUAACAACGUGCAUCUUAUUGCAACAGAGCGGAAUUGGCUGUUAAAAUUUGGGCAAACCG